CGGAGACGAUUUUACUGCAUUGCUGGGUUUUACGAGCGGAGCUCCCAUGAGUCAUAGCUGCUUGGACGGGGCUUUGAAAUCAGAGCCACAGAAACAAAGGGGAAGGUUAUUGAAUAAACAGGAGCUGAUAUCUGAUGGGAGCAGAAAGAGGACGGCAAAGCGCCUGCCAAGUGCAAAAAACAAAACAACCCACAAAAGCAGCCGGGCAAGCGCAGGAGUCAUGUCCCUGCAUUCCAGCCCCCCACCCCAGCCACCGUGACAGAUAACGACCAGCGCGGGGACCAUCGAUGGGGACAGCCAGUCCCGUGCAUCAGGAGCACGGGGGCAAGGACCCCCCCGUGAUGGAAGGUGCCCCAGGAUUCACACCCUACACUCUUUUGUAAUAAUCUUUGUACAAAAUAGGCCUUGACAACUAAUACCUCGCUGGACAAUAGCAUCAUGAUAAAAGCAGGAAUGAACUUCAUCCAGGGGUGACCCUCAGGAAAAUGCAUUUCAAAGGUGGACUGGACUAUAAAAGUGAGGAGCAAAAGCACCCCAAGUUCUCUCUCCCUCUCUCAUUGUCUCCCUUUCACCUAAGAAGACAAAAGAAACAGACCUUGGGCUUUGGGAGCAGAUCCUGGCCUGAGAAUUUGGUCAGCAAUGUGCCUGGGAACAUGUGGUCAGGGGGUUCACCUUGAACCAGGUCUAGUUUGUUAAGUUUUAGUACUGGGAGCAUUUUAUCUUGAGUUCACUUGUAACCAUUUCUGACUUUAAUGCCUUUACUUGCAUCACUUCAAACCUGUCUC